UUUUAGCUGUUAGCUAAAAACUGGAAACAAAUCUAUCAUGAUGAUUGAAACAAGGCAUUUUUAUUGUCUUUCGACACUUGAAAUUUGAAAGCAAAGCCAUGGACAACUGGCACUUUGUUGCAAGAAAGAGGAGUGUAACUAUGGAGAUAGUUGUUCAGAAUGCCAAAUUCAGAAAAAAAGUAAGUGAAAUGUCUCACCAGUGUAGUGAAAACAGAUUGGAAAAGGAAUGGAAAUUGUGAUGCUAAAGCAGAUUCUUGCUUUUAGGAAUUUUUUCAUUAAAAUGCUAAUGUCUGGAAGCACUAGGGUUAAACACUUACUGGUUGCAAUUGCUUGUGCUGAUGGCAGACUGUCCUUCUGUGGUGAGAGCUAAGAAUUAGGGUGGGCUAAAGAGUGUUUUCUGAGGUGUGAUUCAGUGGAAAGGCAGACAUAUUUUCUUUGAGGUAUCUCCCCACUGCAGAAGACAUCUUGGAUAAGAGCCAUCAGCUGCCUCAAACCCCUAUGACCACUGGCAGUUCCCCAGUUGACCUCUGCUGACCUUUAACACAGUUGCUGUUUUCUCUUGGGAAGGCCCUUCCCUUCUACCUGUGCAUUCAGGCUUGAGUUAAUGAAAAAUUGAGUUCCGAAAAUGUCUUCCCAGUGGUGCAAACACCUCAACAUUAUAUCCCAUUGUAAUUGUCAAUAGGUAUUUGACAGAAUCUGGUAUUUUCUACCUCCCACACGUUCACUACAUCUUUUUCCUUCCAUUUAUGUCUUUAGCCCUAUAAAAUAACUCCAUAACCUACACCGCAUUUAGUUAAAAAUAGCCCUUUCUGAGACUUGCUUACAUCUGGUAGGUCUCCAUAGCUGGGGAUUCCAUGGGGAGGUGGGAUAGGCUACUGAGGUUCUGAAUUAACCUUAGGCACAAGGCGGAAUUGGGAUCCUUAGAAACAGCUUUUGAGUGUUGAACUGACCAGAAGCCCUAACUUCAUUUUUAUGAAGAAAAGAAUCUAUCUAAACGCGUUUUAUCCCGGAGUUUUCUCCUACACUAGUCUCAAAUUCAGAUCUUUCACAGACCUGUUUACCCAAGUGGAUCACACUAGGUGAAUAAUUGAUGUUUUCUGUAUGUCAGGAAAAGAAAGACACAGAUAAUGAAAUUCACCCUCAAAUACAGUUUAGGUACGUAUAGGUAUAUAUGUCUGUGCAUAUAUUACAGUAGUGUUAUACAGGGGGGUUUCAAAAGAUUCAAAGUUCUCAUUGCUUAAUUGCAUAUUUUAUUUUUUUAUAUAUUUCUAUUCAACUCACAUGUAGCUGAAAGGCUCUUAAGGAGCUUAAGGAAGCAUAUUUAUAACAGUUGCCUUUUAGAAAUAGGGGAGAAAACCUUUUCUGUGUGUAGAAAGUUAUGCUUGUAGUAUUUAGUCAUCUCUGACCUGAAACUGUAAAUAUUUUGGUUUUCUAAAAAAAAAGUUAUUCAGUGGCUUUUGCCAGAAUCUUGUCAGAACUGUAGGAGUUUAUAAUUUUAUUUUGAAACGAUAGUUCCUAGCAGCAUAGGGAUCCAGCUGUAUUAAUUUUUUGGUCAGUUGGACACUGGUGUUUCACUGCUUGGCCACACUCUUUGUGUACUAAGAUAUAAGAGAGAAAGAUUUUGGUAGUCAAAAGAGGCAAAAGGAGUUAGUGGAUGUUCAGUGAGAAGGAGAUGGAAACACGGCGUAAAUUAAUAUAAACUGCUGCUCUGCAAGUGUUUGCAGGUCAUCUUUGGCUUAUGCUGUUUUUCUUGAACCUCCUGUACUGAGCAUUGCAUAACCCCUGUUGCCAAGAAAAGAUCCAGUUGCACUUUAUUUGAAUAAUAGAGCUAAGUGGAUUAUGGAAAAACUGCGUACAUGAAUUGUGUUGAGGUGGUCCAAACAGCUAUUUAUAGGGCCCUUAAACACCAAAACUGGCACACCAAAUGUUGAGAAAAUCCAAAAUGAUGUAAUUUUUCCAAUCAGGCUUUUAAAAAGCAUAUAAUGAGAUAUUUAAAUAUUGUGAUGCAGAAGUUUUCUAAAAUCUGUCAAGCAUUAUGUUUUGGUUAUUAACACUUGUUUUUCUACAGGCCAAUGAAAUGGAAAGUUGUAUAAACUAGCUAGAUAUUGUAUCCUCAUUACUUAAAAUUAUUUCUUUGAUACACCUAGAAAUUUAACAUGCAUGCUGCCCUAAAGACAUCCUCCUUCUGCAACAUGAAAUACAAUGUACACGUGUUUCUUUCUCCACUUCAAAGCUCUUGAACCUCUUUGCAACAUAGAAUGAAGGUCCCGCGCAUGUCUGACAUGGCUCUUAGCGCAGGGAAUGAUUUCAGCUUCUCCCAGGCAGAGGCUCCUCCUACAGUACACAAAGGCUGUUUGUGUAGAGUAUUAUGUGAUGCAAGAGCUAAGCUUUUAUAUUUUAUGUGCCUGGGAAAUUGGGAAAUGGCAGAGAUUUUAGGGAAAGUAUUGUCCCAAGGAGCAUCUCACUCUCUGCUGAAACUCUGUCCUAGUCAGUAGUCUCAUUUCUCCCUUCCAGCCCAGUAUCAUCAUUCCCAGCUCACUCCUCCUUCUAUUUAGGGCUGAUGCCAUUUCAUUUAACAUUUAUAAGGACAACCUUUUAGGCCUCUCUGCUCCUUCAUGAUUUCCUGAAAUGUAGUAGAGGUCAUAGCAGCAAGACCGUUGUCCCAAGGUGGGCUAGCCUAAAGCUCACAGCCUGCUUGCAAAUUCUGGUCCAGUAAGGACUGAUAACUGCAAAGACUGAUUGAAGCAGAUUAUUUGGGAUGCUGUUCUGGGCUGCCCUAUCUCCACUUCCAUUUAUCCUGGGAAAGAUUCAAGAAUGGGGAGCUGAGUGGCUUUUUUUUUUUUUGUUGUUGAUUCAACUUUGAAAAAAUCUGCCUGCUUUUCUAUGCUUCUCAUCUGGGGGAAUAACACGGACAGCUUUUAACAUAGAAGCAUCACCUGUCAGCAUAUUCCUUUUUCACAUGUUGGAGCCUAAGUUUGUGAGACUUUUGCUCUGUUAUUUCAGGAGGCUGGUGCAAACUUGCACAAAAAUGCUUUUUGAACAACGUAAUGUAAAAUGACACUAGCAGCUAUACAUUACAUCUUUUAUACAUCUGUACUCUCCAAGCACUCCUAGCACUAAUAAAAUGUCUCUGGGUGGAGUUAGCAGUAGUAUCUAAUUGAGUAAGAAAGAAGUUUAUUCUGGUGUCCACGUAUGGAAGCUUCCUAACCUCUUGAUUUCCUUUUGAAUUUCUUGAUUUAUUCCUGCCAGUGUUUGUUUUAAAACAGAAGUUCUCAGCAUGUGUCUUGCCCAGUGACAUUAGGAAAUUUCUUGGCUGAGGCUUUCUGCAAGUGGAUCAAAGUAAUUGGGGAUCUUGCUGUGAGCCAGCAUCAAGAGCUGUCCUUCUUUGAAAAGCAGGUUGACUACUCAUAAUCAGUGCAGGCAGGAUAUCUAGAAGAGCUGCACCAACUCUACCAGGUAACAAAUAAAUGAAAUGUCUCAUUAUUGAUUUUUUU